rnacentral:rRNA from 1 species
UACGGAGGGAGCUAGCGUUAUUCGGAAUUACUGGGCGUAAAGCGCACGUAGGCGGCUUUGUAAGUUAGAGGUGAAAGCCUGGAGCUCAACUCCAGAAUUGCCUUUAAGACUGCAUCGCUUGAAUCCAGGAGAGGUGAGUGGAAUUCCGAGUGUAGAGGUGAAAUUCGUAGAUAUUCGGAAGAACACCAGUGGCGAAGGCGGCUCACUGGACUGGUAUUGACGCUGAGGUGCGAAAAGCGUGGGGAGCGAACAGG